rnacentral:rRNA from 1 species
CAAUAGCGUAUCUUAAUGUUGUUGCAGUUAAAAAGCUCGUAGUCGAAUAUCUGGCCGGGAAAACCGAACUUCGUUUGGAGCUUUCCUAGGCCAUCCGCCUGAAAAAUUAGUGAUCGUUAAUAGCCUUUGCUUAUGGAUCAGGCACUUUACUUUGAAGAAAUUAGAGUGUUUCAGGCAGGCUAUCGCUUGAAUACACCAGCAUGGAAUAAUGGAAUAGGACUUUCAUCAGUUACUGGUUAAUGAUGUUUGUAAUGAUUAAUAGGGACAGUUGGGGGCGAUUCGUACUUGACAGUCAGAGGUGAAAUUCUUGGAUUUAUGAAAGACUAACUACUGCGAAAGCAUUUGCCAAGGAUGUUUUCAUUAAUCAAGAACGAAAGUUAGGGGAUCGAAGACGAUCAGAUACCAU